CUGUAUUUAAAAAUGCCGCAAAAGAUAUGAAUUACCGUCGUUUUCAUAAAAAUCGCCACAAACAUCUCCCUUUACUUUCCUCAAUUCAAAUUACCCCCGAACGUUUUUAUCUUUCUCUUUUUACUUUGGUUUCGAAUUUUUACUCUAUUUGACAUGAGAGGAUUUCUAAGCCUUUUGCGGCGGAAGCCAAAGCCUGUGUGAAGGCGUUGAGGUUAUGCUCCAAUCUAGAUGUACAAAGCCUGGAGGUGAAGGGGGACUCUCUAACGGUGAAUAAGAAGGCGCGCGACUACAGAUGACACAGAUUCCUCAGAAAUAACAGGAUAUAUGGAAGAUGUGAAGAGACUAAGGAAAGGUUUUCGAAGCUGUACCUUUUAUGCAUGCGAAAAGAUCGGCCAACGAAGCAGCGAACUAGUUAGCCAGAUAAGGCCUACAACAAGAACAAGAAUUAUUUUUGAGGAAUGGGAUUCCACAGGUUGCGGCGAUUCUGGUUGAGCGAGACCGCAGUUUGUUGGACGCCCCGGACUGAAAAGCUCUGGUCGAUGAAGGAAAGGGAAGUAGCAGGAGUUCUGUUCGUCGCGUUUCCCUGGCAGAUGAGUAGUUUCUCCUGGGUGUUCCUUAUAUUGUUGUUGGAUUUAGGGAUGAUGCAGGGCGACUUGUACGCACUGAGAGACUAAGAACCAAAGACAUCACCCAUUGAGUGAAAAUGAAGAAUUACUGGCAGGUGUUAUAUAUUACAGCAAAUAAUCUACUGAGUUGAUUUAAAAAAAUUGUAUUCCCAAAUAUGUAAGUCGGUGAUAGUGAAGAACUACUCAUUUGCAACAAAGGGAGGAGUCUGCCUGGCAUUUGCUGAUGAGGUACUGUGCUGGCUUUACGGAACAGUCAAAGAGAGUAAGAUUCUAAUUUCCAUUUCCACAAGCACAAUCUGGGCUGCUCAGAAAGCUGUCACAAAAGCUAAAUACGAGUGGGAACAAGCCUUCACUCUCAUGAAGGAACUUAAGCUUAAGCCUCCACUUCUCACUUUCAGGGCUUGGAUUUGGGCUACUGGGACUGCAUUAGAUUUGAAGCCAAACUAUGUGCGUGCUUGGGCAAACAUGGGUAUCAGUUACGCCAACCAGGUUUGAGUUUUUGUUGGAUGCAUGGUCCAGGAUUAGCUGAAUUCAUGUAUAGUGAUGACUUGUUUGAGCUAACUGCUGAUCUUAAAGUAGGCAUUUUUGGGAGAAGCGCCGCUAAAGGUCGUGGCCUUUAGCGGUGUUUGUGGGAGAACGCCGCUAAAGGUCAUGACUUUUAGCGGCGUUUCCUAUAGCCGCAUUUUUUGCAGAUCUUGCAAAAACGCCAUAAAGCGCCGCUAAAAGCCUAAAGAAACGCCGCUAAAAGUCAGUCUUGCUGUAGUGAUGAUUUGGUGUGUUACGGGGGUUUGGAAUGGAGAUGGUAUUGGAGGGAGAUAUCUGUAUAUUACCUGAGUAAACCGAGGUUCAACAUUGUUAUCAACUCUCGUGUUAUACUUUCUGUCUGGUUAAUCUCGUUAAGAUACUCAGAAGGUUAGACGAUUGGAUCGACACUCUAGUCAUACUAUCCGGCUCAAUUUGGUAAUUUUUGGAGCGUUUAUUUCAGAUUAUAAGGCAUGUAUAUCAUUAAUGUUUUAGUUUAUGUAUAUAUUAUGGAUGAUCUUUUGUGUAAAUGGUCAACUUAUAUAAUACAUGAGAAUGAAGUAUAGUUACUAUGCUAAUAUGAAUGAUAUGUAUUAAGGAAAUGUUGUGAUUGAGGUACCUUUGAUAGGUAUAUUGGAUAGGUAUUAGCUUGAAUGAA